AGCGAACGCUGGCGGCAGGCCUAACACAUGCAAGUCGAACGAACCCUUCGGGGUUAGUGGCGGACGGGUGAGUAACACGUGGGAACGUGCCUUUAGGUUCGGAAUAACUCAGGGAAACUUGUGCUAAUACCGAAUGUGCCCUUCGGGGGAAAGAUUUAUCGCCUUUAGAGCGGCCCGCGUCUGAUUAGCUAGUCGGUGAGGUAAUGGCUCACCAAGGCUACGAUCAGUAGCUGGUCUGAGAGGAUGACCAGCCACAUUGGGACUGAGACACGGCCCAAACUCCUACGGGAGGCAGCAGUGGGGAAUCUUGCGCAAUGGGCGGAAGCCUGACGCAGCCAUGCCGCGUGGAUGAUGAAGGUCUUAGGAUUGUAAAAUCCUUUCACCGGUGAAGAUAAUGACUGUAGCCGGAGAAGAAGCCCCGGCUAACUUCGUGCCAGCCGCCGCCGUAAAAC
rnacentral:rRNA from 1 species